rnacentral:lncRNA from 1 species
GCCUCAUGCGCAGAUCCCAGCCCUACGGUCAUUUUGGGUUUACUUUUGUUGACUUUUUGAUGGUUUAUACACCUGAAAUCUAUCCUUAAUAAUUUUUCGCAUAGAAUCCGUUUCCGGUGUUAGUUUUUGGAGAUUAUGCUUGGAUGAUACUGUUAGGUAUGAAAUGACAAUACUUUGUUAAUUGGAUAAUAACUUAGUAUAUGUAAUUGAGUUGGAAUUGAUGAAUUGAUCGUUGAUAUAUGAUAUGUAAUUGAAUGUAUG